GAUGAACGCUAGCGGCAGGCCUAAUACAUGCAAGUCGAACGGUGUAGCAAUACACAGUGGCGCACGGGUGCGUAACACGUAUGCAACCUACCUAUUAUUGGGGGAUAGCCUUUGGAAACGGAGAUUAAUACCGCAUAAGACAGUGACAUGGCAUCAUGUAGCUGUUAAAGCUUUGGCGAUAAUAGAUGGGCAUGCGUCCAAUUAGUUAGUUGGUGAGGUAAUGGCUCACCAAGACGAUGAUUGGUAGGGGAUCUGAGAGGAUAAUCCGCCACACUGGCACUGAGAUACGGGCCAGACUGCUACGGGAGGCAGCAGUAGGGAAUAUUGGGCAAUGGACGGAAGUCUGACCCAGCCAUGCCGCGUGCAGGAUGACGGCGUUAUGCGUUGUAAACUGCUUUUUUAUAGGAAGAAGAAGCCCUUGCGAGGGAAAGUGACGGUACUAUAAGAAUAAGCACCGGCUAACUCCGUGCCAGCAGCCGCGGUAAUAC
rnacentral:rRNA from 1 species